rnacentral:lncRNA from 1 species
AACUCUGCCUGGAGCAGCACUGUGGGGCCAGCCAUGUGUCCUCCACCCUGACUGCCUGCCUCGGCUCGGAGCAGGUGAGUGAUCAGGUGAGUGACAAGGACGCCUUGUCACCCGCAGGCAGCUCCGCCUUCCCACUACUGUAAGGGACAGCUCGCCACCUCAGGCUCCGCGCUGCUUGGUCACAAGAGUCUCCUUUGCCCGGCACAAAAGCAGGUGAACUUGGAGGUUGAAGCGAAGAGCCCCGCUCAGUCCACACACAGGCACACCAGGUAGGGGUGCGGGGAGCAUUUGAGAGCGGUCUAGAGAAACUGAAAUCCAUAGUCAGGAAGCGUAAACCCGUGCGUGCAUCAGCGCAACCUGAGCCCUAGUGUGAGUUGGCCUUAAAUCAGAAUUUUUUUUUCAGAAUACUCUCCUGGAGAAGGUAAGCGCGUGAGGGGGUUAGGACACAGUAGUGGGGAGGGGCGUUUGGAGCAGCAAGACCACCCUGCCUUCCCCUUUCCCAAAGAGCCAGCUCGUUGACUUUUACCUUAGCUGCUUCUUGUGUUUCAAGUUUGUCAUACAUGACUACAUCGUAAAGGAAAGACCCUUUAACUUGAGGGGUCAGUUAAAUGUUCCUUUCUUCAAGGUAAAUCAGCUUCACUGAGAAGGGAUUGAGAUAUAAUGAAGACCUCACCAAACAAUGUUAGGAUGACCGUAAUCACAAGGGCAUCUGUGAGUUAGCAUCCAGAUUCUGAAGCUGGAGAGUCAUAGGAUCAAGCCUUGUGUCUGCUACUUACUAGUUUGUCACUUUGAACGUUACUUCCCAUAUCUAAGCCUCAUAAGUCUGGCAUCUAUAAAACAAACAUGAUACCAUGUGUCUCAGGGCACUUUAGUGGGGAUUAAACAGGUGGCAGUUCUUCCACAAACGGCAUCGCAUCGUAUGUCACCGCCCACAAAUCUACAGAUCUGUAAAAUGGGUGUGACGGGGAGGACAAACUGACCUGAGCUGGACAGACAACACCAGACCCUGAGGAUGCUGGAAGAGGAACAGUGCUUGUGAGACUGACCUGGUGACCAUGGGCGAGCAGCAGCAGCUCUGUAGUGGUAAAACUGCCUGGCUUCUCCUCACUUCCAAGUGUUUAGCCUACCUGAAGGCCAGUUUAAACUUAAAUGUUAUCCACUUUUAUUUUGUGAAAGUGGUGUUUAUUUCUGAGGAAAUAAAAAGCAUCUGUAGUGAGAAAAUUACUAUCUAUUUUAUGCUGUAAAGCCCUGGCCUUUAUGCUUCACAUGAAAGACUGCAUUUGAAUGACUUUCAUCAAAUUAGACUAUCUGGGCUAAGCCCUUCUGUUGUAACACAUAUUGAAUGGUUUACAGUCAAAUGAUGGUGACUUUCUUUAUAUGCUAACAGUCUGGUGCUCAUGCUUUGUCGGGCUCUAACUCUUCAGCUUAAAUGACAAGGAAGUGGCUUUUUAUUAUACGGUGUUGUGUAAAGGACACUUUUGUGACUCUUGCUAUGAGUUUUAUGAAUGUUGCUAAAUGGUUUACAAUGCAAAUCAUCAUUGUCUUAAAUGUUCAUUUUUCCACUAUAGAAUUUGAAUUUCCUAAUCCACAUCUAAUGAGAUACUGACUGAAGAAUUUUGGGUAGAUUUCUAAUGCCAAGUCAACUGACAUUUGUUGUGCUAUUGGCUUAUAGGAUCUAGCAAUAACAGUGCAGUUUGGCUUAUAAAAUAAUCUCAUUUAUUUAGACUACCUCAGAGUAAUAACUAAACAUUUUUCAUCUAUUAUACUGAAUAUAAACUGUUGAAUACAAUUUAAAGUAUUUGAUUUUAUAUUCCCUAGUGAUAUAUCAAUAUAAAAAACAGUGCCCCAAGUAAGAUAAAUCUGUUUGACUAUAUUUAAUAUUUUAAUAUUGAGAUGAAUCUCCUUAACCUCAUAAAAAACUAUCUUCCUAGUUAGCUUAUAUGCUAUACGUAUAUGUUUAUCUGUUGUUCCUAAAAUAUAUAACCCUAUAUUGCAAAUUAUAGAAUGUUCUAAUCAACAACACAGAAAAAUAACGAGGGUUGUAUGAAAUAAUAAACUUUUCUAAUUAUAUUUAAAAUAGUGCAGAUAACAUAGCAUUAAAUGUUGUACACUUAAUGUUGACUCCUAUUUUAGUUUCCUGAAAUGAGUAGCUUAUAAUUAUAAUUAAACUAGAUGUUUUAUGCU